rnacentral:rRNA from 1 species
AGUGAACGCUGGCGGCAGGCCUAACACAUGCAAGUCGAACGGCAGCACGGCAGUAGCAAUACUGUGGGUGGCGAGUGGCGGACGGGUGAGGAAUACAUCGGGAUCUACCCUGUUGUGGGGGAUAACGUAGGGAAACUUACGCUAAUACCGCAUAAGAACUGAGGUUGAAAGCGGCGGACCGCAAGGCGUCGCGCGAUUGGCUGAACCGAUGUCCGAUUAGCUAGUUGGCGGGUAAAGGCCCACCAAGGCGACGAUCGGUAGCUGGUCUGAGAGGACGACCAGCCACACUGGAACUGAGACACGGUCCAGACUCCUACGGGAGGCAGCAGUGGGGAAUAUUGGACAAUGGGCGCAAGCCUGAUCCAGCCAUGCCGCGUGGGUGAAGAAGGCCUUC